AGUGAACGCUGGCGGUAGGCCUAACACAUGCAAGUCGAACGGCAGCACAGUAAGAGCUUGCUCUUACGGGUGGCGAGUGGCGGACGGGUGAGGAAUACAUCGGAAUCUACUUUUUCGUGGGGGAUAACGUAGGGAAACUUACGCUAAUACCGCAUACGACCUACGGGUGAAGGCAGGGGAUCUUCGGACCUUGCGCGAUUGAAUGAGCCGAUGUCGGAUUAGCUAGUUGGCGGGGUAAAGGCCCACCAAGGCGACGAUCCGUAGCUGGUCUGAGAGGAUGAUCAGCCACACUGGAACUGAGACACGGUCCAGACUCCUACGGGAGGCAGGAGUGGGGAAUAUUGGACAAUGGGCGCAAGCCUUAUCCAGCCAUACCGCGUGGGUGAAGAAGGCCUUCGGGUUGUAAAGCCCUUUUGUUGGGAAAGAAAAGCAGCAGGUUAAUACCCCGCUGUUCUGACGGUACCCAAAGAAUAAGCACCGGCUAACUUCGUG
rnacentral:rRNA from 1 species